rnacentral:rRNA from 1 species
AGUAACACGUAAGUAAUCUACCUUUGAGUGGGGAAUAACAUCGGGAAACCGAUGCUAAUACCGCAUAAUGCAGCGGCAUCGCAGGAUGACAGUUGUUAAAGAUUUAUCGCUUAAAGAGGAGCUUGCGGCAGAUUAGCUAGUUGGUAAGGUAAUGGCUUACCAAGGCUACGAUCUGUAACCGGUCUAAGAGGACGGUCGGUCACACUGACACUGAAUAACGGGUCAG